UACGUAGGGUGCAAGCGUUACUCGGAAUUACUGGGCGUAAAGCGUGCGCAGGCGGUUGUGCAAGACAGAUGUGAAAUCCCCGGGCUUAACCUGGGAAUGGCAUUUGUGACUGCACGGCUAGAGUGUGUCAGAGGGGGGUAGAAUUCCACGUGUAGCAGUGAAAUGCGUAGAUAUGUGGAGGAAUACCGAUGGCGAAGGCAGCCCCCUGGGAUAACACUGACGCUCAUGCACGAAAGCGUGGGGAGCAAACAGG
rnacentral:rRNA from 1 species